rnacentral:rRNA from 1 species
GGCCUACGGGAGGCAGCAGUGAGGAAUAUUGGUCAAUGGGAGAGAUCCUGAACCAGCCAAGCCGCGUGAGGGAAGAAGGAAUUCGUUCUGUAAACUUCUGUUAUAAAGGAAGAAAGACGGAUGGAGGAAAUGACAUCCGAGUGACGGUACUUUAUGAGAAAGCCACGGCUAACUACGUGCCAGCAGCCGCGGUAAUACGUAGGUGGCAAGCGUUAUCCGGAAUUAUUGGGCGUAAAGAGGGAGCAGGCGGUAGCAAAGGUCUGUGGUGAAAGACUGAAGCUUAACUUCAGUAAGCCAUAGAAACC